CCGUACUCCUUAUGGGGUGCGUGUGAGCCCUGUUUCAUUGCCGUGAGAAGUGAGAUUCUUGGACCAUGAAGAGGAUCAAAUAUUAAACAAAGUUUCUGUUUUCAUAGGUUUAGAGUCAAGGAGGUGUGGGCAGACGGAUAUUAUUGUCGAUGGAAGAAUGGCCAAUCUAUAGAAAAGCCUUAUUUGAGACAAAUUUUGAGAACAAGCCAGGAAGCAAAAUAUCAAUGGAUUGAGUAAAUGCUCUGGAGAAUGGCAGUUCUGCAGCUUGUUUUAUACGUUACAAUCAAAAGAGAAGCUGUAAGGAGGAUUAUGUGAAAUCUGUUGGUAGAUUAAGGAGGCAGGAGAAAGCCGAACAGGAGGAAAUCUCCAGGCCUGGAUAAAAAGCGAAACGGAGAGACACUUCUUUUACACUGUGCCAGAAGUUGUGCCUUGGAAGGGGUCUGGGAAAGAAAAUUACUCUGACAAGUCAAAGGAUUCAAAUGCAGGCAGUUGACUCCAGAGAGAGGAGCAUCGUUUGAUUUAACACCUGGAAGGAUGAGUGAGCUCUAUCCAGGUAAAGAAGUUACAAGAAAAGCUUUUUAGACAGCGAGCACGUGCAAAUCCCGAGGCAAUGAAAUUCAAUGCUUAGAGCAGUAUUUUUCAAAAUACACAUUGUGGUCAUCAUAUCAACUUAGUGGAUAUAAAGGUUAAGAAAAAAAAACAAUAUCAGGAUGCACUGUGUAAGUACUAAGUACUGUUUUACAAAACUUGUUUGUUCCCCAUUAUGUCAAUUAGGUUGCAAUGUAAAAUAAAUUUCUUACUGUAGGCAGGACUUGGAAAUGUUUGUAAAACAUUGUUUUGGAAUAAAAGAAGGCCAGAAUGAUUAGAAAGCAGGGAGGGAGUAGGAAGGGGCCUUUCCACUAAGAUGAGAGAGAUUGGCAGGGACCAUACUAUAGGGCUUCAGAGGUAUAUUAAUAAAAGUUUUCUGCACAGUAAUAUAUUUGAAGGGUUUCGAGCAGCUGACUUCUUUGGUCAUUGAUGUGUUAUAAAUGUGUUUUAAAAUUUCCAAACAUACAGGUUUUCUUCGGGUUUUUAUGAUCUUUUCAUUGUGUUGCAGACAUACUCUACUGCCCGCGUGAAGCUGCUUCCGUGGCAUUGAUAUUUGUAAAUGUCCUGUAUGCACUGGAGAAAAAUACUCCUUAAGAUUUCUAUAUACAUCUGUUAAAUAAGUCAUAGGACAUUUGAUUAGAUCUAUCCCAAUUUAAGAGGCUGAACUGGUAGUCAACUCAAAAGAAUUGUACUAGAUUUGGCUGGAGACCAGCUAUAUAUAUGACAACGGACAAACCAUUUCCCCACCAUGUCCCUCAGUUUCCCUUCUCUAGGAUGAGAGUGUAAGUCUAAGGCCCUUCCAGCUAUUUAAAAAUUGUGUUUUUAUUUUUUUAAAAAGAUUUUAUUUUUAAAGAGGGGGAAGGGAGGGAGAAAGAGAGGGAGAGAUACAUCAGUGUGUGCUUGCCUCUCCUGUGCUGUCUGCUGGGAACCCUGCCCACAACCCAGGUAUGUGACCUGACUGGGAGUUGAACCAGCGACUCUUUGGUUCACAGGCUGGCUGGCACUCAAUCCUCUGAGUCACACCAGCCAGGGCCAUUAUUUGUUUUUAGAGAGAGGGGAAGUCGGGGAGAAAGGGGGAGAAACAUCAAUUGGUUUGCUCUCACAUGCCCCCAGUGGGGCACCUGGCCUGAAACCCAGGCGUGUGUUCUGACCCAAAUGGAAACAGUGACCCUGUUUGUGGGACGGUGCGCAGCCCCCUAAAGCCACACCAGCCAGGGUGGCCCUUCCAGCCUGGAUGUCAAAUUCCUGUCCUGUACACUUUUCCAUGAUAAUGCCUGGAAUGACAUACUAUGAGUUUCCGAAAUUACUUAUUUACCCUUUUCAAAUAGAAAAUGUGUUUAUAAAUGCAAUGGAUAUAAAAAUGAGUCAUACUUAGUGAAGAGUGAUUUAUAAAAAGAAUUCAAUGGGUCAUUUAUUUCUUCCUUAAGAAGAUAUUUGCUAUGUAAGAAGCCACCUCUCCUUCACCUGUGGUAUGUAUGAAGACUGUUACCACUUAUUUCCCAAAUGUCCCCAGACCUAAAAUAAAACCCAUGACCAAAGUGUUUGCAUGUACUUAGUUCUUUAAGGUAAAUGCUUUUCUUUGAUUAAAUGUUUUUAAGGCUUCUCCAUAUAAAGUCCCCCCUCCUUUUUUUUUGGCUUGAUGCUAAAAAAAGAAAAAGAAAGAAUAAAAACCAGAGAAUGGUACUAGAAGUGAGGAACAGAAAAACCAAAGAUAUUUCAUUUGUUCUGCAUUGAGCAGAUGCUGCCAGCACUUUUCAAACGGGGAAAUGCAAAGCUGCAGUGAGCAGCCCAUACAGCGAAUGGGAAAAGAAAGCUACCACAUUUUUUGGUAGAAAUGAUUUGACAUUAAAAUGUAUUGGAUUCUAUUUUAA